CCUCUCUUUCUCUCAUGCUCCCACCUUGUUAUUUUUCAUGGGCUGGAGGUGGAACCGCAGCAGCAGAGAGUGGGUGAAGGCACAGAAUGAAGAUAAAUUCUGAGCCUUUGAUUCUUUUCUUCAUAGGCUCUUCUGUGGACCCACAACUUCACAGAAAUUUCAUGAGAGCCGACUUCUCUCAUCUGCCUUAGACAGAUCCUGUAAGAAUGUUUGCACAGGCCCAGUGCCAACGGUGCCGCAGAGCCCGGUGACGGCAUGGAGAGAUCAAGGAGCGUCCCGCCCAGCACACCGCAGGGACCAGCGGGCGAAACCCAAGGCCAGAGUGUGCAGUGACCCUGCCUGAUCUCUGACCCAGCUGUUUGCAGCCUCCUGCCAGAGAGCUUGUUUUGGGCACAGCGUGGACAUA
rnacentral:lncRNA from 1 species